AGUGAACGCUGGCGGUAGGCCUAACACAUGCAAGUCGAACGGCAGCACAGUAAGAGCUUGCUCUUACGGGUGGCGAGUGGUGGACGGGUGAGGAAUACAGCCGAAUCUUCUCUUUCGUGGGGGAUCACGUAAGGAAACCUACGUUAAUAUCGCAUCCCACCUUCCGGUGAAAGACGGGGAUAUUCGCACCUUGCGCGAUUGAAUGAGCCGCUGCCAGAUUAGCUAGUUGGCGGGGUAAAGGCCCACCAAGGCGCGGAUCGGUAGCUGGUCUGAGAGGAUGAUCAGCCACACUGGAACUGGGACACGGACCAGACUCCUACGAGAGGCACCAGAGGGGAAUAUUGGACAGUAGUCGGGAGCCUAGUCCAACCAGACCACGUGUGAGAAAGAAGCCUUCGGGUUGUAAAGCCCUUUUGUGGGGAAAAAAAAGCAUCAGGUUAAUACCACGCUGUUCUGACGGUACCCAAAAAAUAAGCACCGGCUAACUUCGUG
rnacentral:rRNA from 1 species